AGUGAACGCUGGCGGUAGGCCUAACACAUGCCAGUCGAACGGCAGCACAGUAAGAGCUUGCUCUUACGGGUGGCGAGUGGCGGACGGGUGAGGAAUACAUCGGAAUCUACUUUUUCGUGGGGGAUAACGUAGGGAAACUUACGCUAAUACCGCAUACGACCUACGGGUGAAAGCAGGGGAUCUUCGGACCUUGCGCGAUUGAAUGAGCCGAUGUCGGAUUAGCUAGUUGGCGGGGUAAAGGCCCACCAUGGCGACGAUCCGUAGCUGGUCUGAGAGGAUGAUCAGCCACACUGGAACUGAGACACGGUCCAGACUCCUACGGGAGGCAGCAGUGGGGAAUAUUGGACAAUGGGCGCAAGCCUGAUCCAGCCAUACCGCGUGGGUGAAGAAGGCCUUCGGGUUGUAAAGCCCUUUUGUUGGGAAAGAAAAGCAGCAGGUUAAUACCCCGCUGUUCUGACGGUACCCAAAGAAUAAGCACCGGCUAACUUCGUG
rnacentral:rRNA from 1 species